AAUGAACGCUGGCGGCAUGCCUUACACAUGCAAGUCGAACGGCAGCAUGACCUAUCUUGCUAGGUUGAUGGCGAGUGGCGAACGGGUGAGUAAUGCAUCGGAACGUGCCUUUUAGUGGGGGAUAACGUAGCGAAAGUUACGCUAAUACCGCAUAUUCUCUGAUGCGGAAAGCAGGGGACCUUCGGGCCUUGCGCUGGAAGAGCGGCCGAUGUCGGAUUAGCUAGUUGGUGAGGUAAAGGCUCACCAAGGCAACGAUCCGUAGCGGGUCUGAGAGGAUGAUCCGCCACACGGGGACUGAGACACGGCCCAGACUCCUGAGGGAGGCAGCAGUGGGGAAUGUUGGACAAUGGGCGCAAGCCUGAUCCAGCCAUGCCGCGUGAGUGAAGAAGGCCUUCGGGUUGUAAAGCUCUUUCGGCUGGGAAGAAAUCGCACCCUCUAAUACAGGGUGUGGAUGACGGUACCAGCAGAAGAAGCACCGGCUAACUACGUG
rnacentral:rRNA from 1 species